CAGUCGCCACGGUAAUGCGUAGGUGGCAAGCGUUGUCCGGAAUUAUUGGGCGUAAAAGGCUCGCAGGCGGUUUCUUAAGUCUGAUGUGAAAUUCCUGGGCUUAACCUGGGGGCUGCAUUUGAGACGCGUGGUCUAGAGUGUGAAAGAGGGUCGUGGAAUUCCCAGUGUAGAGGUGAAAUUCGUAGAUAUUGGGAAGAACACCGGUGGCGAAGGCGGCGACCUGGUUCAUAACUGACGCUGAGGCGCGAAAGCGUGGGGAGCAAACAGGAUUAGAUACCCCCGUAGUCCCUGUCUCUUAUAC
rnacentral:rRNA from 1 species